UGUGAUCUGGUUUGAUGAGUGUCGGCGUGAGUGUCGGUGUGAGUGUCGGUGUGAGGGGAAACUGCCGAACAACUUCCAGAAAGGUUUCUCGGGUUAAAUGAAAAACCGGGGAAGUUUUUUUUUCCAGCUCCGGUAAAAAUAUCUUUUUUCGUUUUGGUGUUUUUGCGGAAGCGGCGGCUGCAGGUGCUCUGGACCGUGAUGUGGCGCCAUCUUUGAACACGAGAGAGCAGGAGGCAGAGCAGGUACCGAGGUGAUCCUGAACUCUCUGAUGGUCCACUCCGGCAGGACGGACUCCGACAGCAUCUGAAUGACCAGGUCCCCGUAGUACAGAGGCUCUCUGUCCGCAGGCCAGUACUGAUCACACUUCACCUGCAAACACAGAUGUUUGGACCAAACCAUCAGUGACUCACUCGUCCUUUCUCCACACACUGCGUCACCAUGACCACGUUGUGGACGCCGUGCUCCCACACCAUCCGCCAGAAAUCAUCCUUGGUGCCGGGCAGAGGGCCCUGGGUGGCGAUGUACUCCCUGCGAGAACCAAACACAUCAGGCUGCUGUACGGAGCCUUCAGAGCGUCUGCACAGAGACCUCAGACUGGUGCAUCACUGUCGCCAUGGGAACAGGCAGCCGGGCGACGUCCAUGGUCUGGUUGCGUCCCACAUCCUUCAGAUCCUGUACACAAGGUAAAACCGGUGUGGGAGUGUGGAGGCUCUUACCUGGUGACCCGUCGGUUACUGUAACAGGAAUAAAGAGACGACUCAUUACUAUUUGCGAAGUUAUUAAAGCAUCAGCACAGUCAGAUGUGAUGGUUUGUAGUUUUAAAGCACUGACAAAAAAAUGACUAAUUCAAAUUAAAGUUAAAAUUUAAAUGGCUGUAACUGUUUGCCCAUUCAGGGGGAAACUAUGGAUUAAAAUUAGAUUUACAUCACAUCAUCUGCUUUCUGAAUGUGUAAUAAAGCUGAAGGCCUCUAACGUUCAGUCCUGCUGUAACAAUAGUUCUAACAUGUUAAACUCAUUUACUACACACAUAUGCUUCAUUUCUCCUCUUAACGUUAACGAGCUGCUGUGUGUGUGUGUGUGUGUGUGUAUACAAACAUCUGCACACUACACAAACACACACUGAGUAAUUAAACUUGCUGUGGAGGGUGAGUGAUGAUCUGAGAGGGAGCACUUUAUUGGAAACUAAUACCUCACAUACUGGGUGUAGGAGGUAUUGGAAACUAAUCUCUCACACACUGAGGAAGAAAUAAUUAUAGAUGGAGGACACACUCACCUCCUGACGCCCAUGUAUAUGCCUGAAGCUGGAACCUCUUUCCACAUACUCAUCCUCACCACCGGGUUCUCCUGCACCGCCCUGCACGCACACACGCACACACGCACACACACGCACACACAGCUACGCAUUAGAAAUGUCUGUACACAAAAAUAAAGACACAAGUAAACACCAACACAAAUGACUGAAUAUAAAUCAGCUUCUUCUCCAUCUGUCGCUGUUCAACCAUCAGACAAACUGUGUUGAACAUAUGAACAGUUAACACAAAGCUCCAUCAUCAGAGGGGCUGCAGCCCUCAGCAGUAA